UACGGAGGGUGCAAGCGUUAUCCGGAUUCACUGGGUUUAAAGGGUGCGUAGGUGGGCAGUUAAGUCAGUGGUGAAAUCCCCGGGCUUAACCUGGGAAUGGCGCUUGUUACUGGCAGACUAGAGUGCGUCAGAGGGGGGUGGAAUUCCACGUGUAGCAGUGAAAUGCGUAGAGAUGUGGAGGAACACCGAUGGCGAAGGCAGCCCCCUGGGAUGACACUGACGCUCAUACACGAAAGCGUGGGGAGCAAACAGG
rnacentral:rRNA from 1 species